rnacentral:rRNA from 1 species
UACAGAGGUCCCAAGCGUUGUUCGGAUUCAUUGGGCGUAAAGGGUGCGUAGGUGGCGCGCUAAGUCAGGUGUGAAAUUUCGGAGCUUAACUCCGAAACUGCAUUUGAUACUGGCGUGCUUGAGGACUGGAGAGGAGACUGGAAUUUACGGUGUAGCAGUGAAAUGCGUAGAGAUCGUAAGGAAGACCAGUGGCGAAGGCGGGGUCUCUGGACAGUUCCUGACACUGAGGCAUGAAGGCCAGGGGAGCAAACGGG